rnacentral:tRNA from 1 species
UCUUUCUUAAUAUAAAAGUAUUUUUAACUUCCAAUUAAAAAGUCUCCCUGAGAGAGGAAGAA